rnacentral:lncRNA from 10 species
UACUCAAAAACUAUAGUGCUAUCAGCAUGCAAAACCAGUCGGAGACAGCUGCAGGCACUCAACUGCAACUCAUAAGAACUGUUGCUACACCCAGCAAGACCACAGAGACAGGGUUUCCCAAGGUCUUUAGGACCCAAUUCCUACAACAAUGUGUCCAGAAAGUGGUACAUGGAGUCAAGGAAGAUUAUUCCUGAGACAAGAUUUAAUGUUGUUCAUCCUGUUGGAUUUUAGACUCACUGGGAUCAGGAGCAGAAACAGACACACAGAGGGAGACAGCCAUGUGAAUGAUUAAAGUGAUGUGUCUACAUGUCAAGUAACUCAAAGGAUUGCCGACAACUUCCAGAAGCAAGGAGAGAGGCAUGGAACAGAUUCUUUCUCGGGUGCUUCCAGAGGAAGAAAGUCUGCUGGCAUGUUAUUUCAGACUUCUAGAUUCCAGAACUGUGAGAUGAUAAAUGUAUGUUUUUCAAAGCCAUCCAAAUUUGUGGUACUUGGUUGCAGCAGUCCUGGGAAACUAGUACAUCGACACUGCACUGCCAAUUUCUUUAGCCCCGAGCUGAAUUUCCUUCUUCUUUGUAUCUAUGCCUCUGGAGUGUAUUUUCUCAAUGGGAGUAAUUCAUCCCAUUGUCAGGCAAUGACUACUUAAUUGGAAGAAUAUGGGAGGGGCUUGAGAAGCUAGGAUAUGAUUUUUCUAACUACCAGUCAUAUCUCUUGCUAAGUUUCCCACUUCUAAUAUUGCUUGAAUCAAAUACUAGCUUAGGGCAGAGAAUUUUUGGCUUUUCUACCCUGCUACUGUAGUUACAGCUAUCUCAGACUUCAAAUUACAGGUAGAAAUGAGGCUGGUUGCAGUGGCUCACACCUGUAAUCCCAGCACUUAGGGAGGCCGAGGUGGGCGGAUCACAUGAGGUCAGGAGUUACCAGCCUGCCCAAAAUGGUGAAACGCCAUCUCUACUAAAAAUAUAAAAAUUAGCCAGGCGUGGUAGUGCGUGCCUAUAGUCCCAGCUACUGGGGAGGCUGAAGCAGGAGAAUCUCUUGAACCUGGGAGGCGGAGGUUGCAGUGAGCAGAGAUCACACCACUGCACUCCAGCCUGGGUGACAGAGAUUCCAUCUCAAAAAAAAAAAAAAAGAAAGAAAGAAAAAAAAAAGAAAGAAGGAAAGAAAG